AGAGUUUGAUCCUGGCUCAGGAUGAACGCUGACAGAAUGCUUAACACAUGCAAGUCUACUUGAUCCUUCGGGUGAUGGUGGCGGACGGGUGAGUAACGCGUAAAGAACUUGCCCUGCAGUCUGGGACAACAUUUGGAAACGAAUGCUAAUACCGGAUAUUAUGUGAGUUUCGCAUGAAAUUCAUAUGAAAGCUAUAUGCGCUGCAGGAGAGCUUUGCGUCCUAUUAGCUAGUUGGUGAGGUAACGGCUCACCAAGGCGAUGAUAGGUAGCCGGCCUGAGAGGGUGAACGGCCACAAGGGGACUGAGACACGGCCCUUACUCCUACGGGAGGCAGCAGUGGGGAAUAUUGGACAAUGGACCAAAAGUCUGAUCCAGCAAUUCUGUGUGCACGAUGAAGUUUUUCGGAAUGUAAAGUGCUUUCAGUUGGGACGAAGUAAGUGACGGUACCAACAGAAGAAGCGACGGCUAAAUACGUGCCAGCAGCCGCGGUAAUACGUAUGUCGCAAGCGUUAUCCGGAUUUAUUGGGCGUAAAGCGCGUCUAGGCGGUUUGGUAAGUCUGAUGUGAAAAUGCGGGGCUCAACUCCGUAUUGCGUUGGAAACUGCCAAACUAGAGUACUGGAGAGGUGGGCGGAACUACAAGUGUAGAGGUGAAAUUCGUAGAUAUUUGUAGGAAUGCCGAUGGGGAAGCCAGCCCACUGGACAGAUACUGACGCUAAAGCGCGAAAGCGUGGGUAGCAAACAGGAUUAGAUACCCUGGUAGUCCACGCCGUAAACGAUGAUUACUAGGUGUUGGGGGUCGAACCUCAGCGCCCAAGCUAACGCGAUAAGUAAUCCGCCUGGGGAGUACGUACGCAAGUAUGAAACUCAAAGGAAUUGACGGGGACCCGCACAAGCGGUGGAGCAUGUGGUUUAAUUCGACGCAACGCGAGGAACCUUACCAGCGUUUGACAUCCUAAGAAAUUAGCAGAGAUGCUUUUGUGCCCCUUCGGGGGAACUUAGUGACAGGUGGUGCAUGGCUGUCGUCAGCUCGUGUCGUGAGAUGUUGGGUUAAGUCCC
rnacentral:rRNA from 2 species